rnacentral:rRNA from 1 species
AGUGAAUAGAUACCCAGGUAGUCCUAGCCGUAAACGAUACUCGCUAGGUGUCGGCCACGGUGCGACCGUUGUCGGUGCCGUAGGGAAAGCCGUGAAGCGAGCCACCUGGGAAGUACGGCCGCAAGGCUGAAACUUAAAGGAAUUGGCGGGGGAGCACCACAACGGGUGGAGCUUGCGGUUUAAAUUGGAUUCAACGCCGGAAAUCUUACCGGGACCGACAGCAAUAUGAAGGCCAGGCUGAAGACUUUGCCGGAUUAGCUGAGAGGUGGUGCAUGGCCGUCGUCAGUUCGUACUGUGAAGCAUCCUGUUAAGUCAGGCAACGAGCGAGACCCACGCCCACAGUUGCCAGCGUACUCUCCGGAGUGACGGGUACACUGUGGGACCGCCGCUGCUAAAGCGGAGGAAGGAAUGGGCAACGGUAGGUCAGUAUGCCCCGAAUAUCCCGGGCUACACGCGAGCUACAAUGGUUGGUACAAUGGGUAUCUACCCCGAAAGGGAUGGUAAUCUCCUAAAUCCAAUCUUAGUCCGGAUUGAGGGCUGCAACUCGCCCUC